rnacentral:pre_miRNA from 1 species
AGCACAAUUGCUGGAUCAUAUGGUAAGAGUAUAUUUAGUUUUGUAAGAAACUGUCAAAAUAUUUUCCAAAUUGGCUAUACCAUUUUGUAUUCCCACCAGCAAU